rnacentral:rRNA from 1 species
UACGUAGGGGGCAAGCGUUGUCCGGAAUCAUUGGGCGUAAAGCGCGCGUAGGCGGCCCGGUAAGUCCGUUGUGAAAGUCAAAGGCUCAACCUUUGAACGCCGAUGGAUACUGCCGGGCUAGAGUCCGGAAGAGGCGAGUGGAAUUCCUGGUGUAGCGGUGGAAUGCGCAGAUAUCAGGAGGAACACCGGUGGCGAAGGCGGCCUGCUGGGCAGUUUAGCUGACACUGAGGCGCGACAGCGUGGGGAGCAAACAGG